UACGGAGGGGGCCAGCGUUGUCCGGAAUCACUGGGCGUAAAGGGCGCGUAGGCGGCCUGAUAAGUAGGGGGUGAAAUCCUGCGGCUUAACCGCAGGGCUGCCUUCUAAACUGUCAGGCUUGAGCACAGUAGAGGCAGGUGGAAUUCCCGGUGUAGCGGUGGAAUGCGUAGAGAUCGGGAAGAACAUCAGUGGCGAAGGCGGCCUGCUGGGCUGUUGCUGACGCUGAGGCGCGACAGCGUGGGGAGCAAACAGG
rnacentral:rRNA from 1 species